rnacentral:lncRNA from 1 species
GGCACUAAGGUGAGUUUCUUUCCUUGAUGCUUGAAAGAAUACCUAUUGGUACGACCAUCGUGAGUGACUUUUCGAUCCAGUUGCCAUGGUUCUCCUAGCAACAAAUGGCAGGCUUGAAUAGGCAUUAUGUCGCACACAACUUCGUCUUGAUACUUACCGAUAGAAAAGGCGAUGCGCACUUGUUGAGUGACCCUAAAUUGGCCUU